CCUACGGGUGGCUGCAGUGAGGAAUAUUGGUCCAUGGGCGAGAGCCUGAACCAGCCAAGUCGCGUGAAGGAUGAAGGAUCUAUGGUUUGUAAACUUCUUUUAUAUGGGAAUAAAGUGAGGAACGUGUUCCUUUUUGUAUGUACCAUAUGAAUAAGCAUCGGCUAACUCCGUGCCAGCAGCCGCGGUAAUACGGAGGAUGCGAGCGUUAUCCGGAUUUAUUGGGUUUAAAGGGAGCGUAGGUGGAUUGUUAAGUCAGUUGUGAAAGUUUGCGGCUCAACCGUAAAAUUGCAGUUGAAACUGGCAGUCUUGAGUACAGUAGAGGUGGGUGGAAUUCUUGGUGUAGGGGUAAAAUCCGUAGAGAUCAAGAGGAAUACUCAUUGCGAAGGCGACCUGCUAGAACAUAACUGACGCUGAUGCGCGAAAGCGUGGGGAGCAAACAGGAUUAGAUACCCUUGUAGUC
rnacentral:rRNA from 1 species